rnacentral:rRNA from 1 species
GAGUCCUGGCUCAGGAUGAACGCUAGCUACAGGCUUAACACAUGCAAGUCGAGGGGCAGCAUGAACUUAGCUUGCUAAGUUUGAUGGCGACCGGCGCACGGGUGAGUAACACGUAUCCAACCUGCCGAUGACUCGGGGAUAGCCUUUCGAAAGAAAGAUUAAUACCCGAUGGCAUAGUUCUUCCGCAUGGUAGAACUAUUAAAGAAUUUCGGUCAUCGAUGGGGAUGCGUUCCAUUAGGUUG